rnacentral:tRNA from 1 species
GCCCGAGUGGCGGAAUGGCAUACGCGGACGGCUCAAACCCGUCUGUCCUAAACAGACAUGGGGGUUCAACUCCCCCCUCGGGCA